AACCAUCACAACUAUCCAUCUCUAGAACUCUUUCAUCAUCCCAAACUGAAACUCUGUUUGAACAACUCCCCAUUCUCACCUCCCUGCAGCCCCUGGUAACCAACACUCUAGUUUCUAUGUACUUAACUAUUCCAGUUACCUCAUAUAAGUGGAAUCACACAGUAUCUGUCCUUAAGAAAGGGUGUAUGAGAAGAUGCAUAUCUAAAAAUGUCUUUAUUUUCUCACUUACUGAUAUUUUGGGCAGAUACAUCACUCUGGGUUGGAUGUAAUUUUCCCUUUUAAUUUUGAAGGUACUGCUUCAGUAUGAUACAUCAGUUAGGAGAAUGGACUCUGGAGCCAGACUGCCUGGUUCAAAUCCCAGCUCUACCGUUUAUUACCUGUGUGACUUAGGCAAGUUACUUUGCCCUUUGUACCUCAGAUUUUUCAUCUGUAAAACUGAGAUAAUAAUAGUCCCUAUUUCACAGGGCCGUUUUGAGGAUGAAUAGUAAAGCACUUAAAAUAGUACAAUACAGUUAAAAGUCUACCCUAAAUAUUAGCUACUAUUGCCUUCCAACCUUUAGAGUUGCUGUCGAAAAGUCUGAAGCUGUUUUGAUUCUUGAUCCUUUCUAGGUCACUAAUUUCUUUUUCUUUAGAAGUGGUUAAAAUCCAUUUGUACCAAUAUUCUGAAAUUUCACAAUAACGUUCCUUCAGGUAGAUUUAUUUUCAACCAUUGUUCUGGGCACUCAAGAGGUCCUUUUAAUCAGGAAACUCAUGUCCUUCAAUUUGGAGAAAUCCAAUUAAUUAUUUAUUUAAUGACAGCCUCCUCUCCAUUUUUUUCUGUCCUCUCUUUCUAGAACUCCUAUCAUUUAGUUGAUCAGGUCUGUCCUUUAUUUUCAUAUAUUUUUCACCUCUAUCUUUCUCUUUGUCAUUUUUUCGUAUAUUUAAUGUCCAAGAGCUUGACCUUAUUCUCAUUUUCUUUUCUUUUUUUUAAAUAGCCUGUUCUUGUUUCAUGGAUGCAAAUAUUUUUUUCUCUUUCUGAGAAUUUUAAUGCAAGAACACAGCUGGUUUUCUUCUCCCUUUAUAGGCUUGGUUUUCUUGUUUGUUCUUGGCUCAUCUUUAACAUGAGAAUCCUUCUUCUAACAUCUGGUGAUUUUUGGUGUCUGCCACAUGGGGCAGAAAAAAUCUGAUUGGAGCUCUGUGUGUGUGGAUGGAGUUUGUCAACUAUGGGCCUCCCCACAGGGUGAUUAUUGGACCUGAUCAGGAGCCCCUCACGUCAGUAUCUUUUCUCUUUUCUCUUUGGCUGGUGAGAUUGACCAGAGGAGAAUCUUGCAAUCUCCUCUGUGGACAGUGUAUGUCAGGCUUCUAGCCUGCUGGGAAAGAGGGCUUGGGCAGCAUUUAAAUUUUCAUUUAAUCCUCUUGUUUUUAAUGCACUUACCCUCUCCAGAGAAUAAACCUUCAGUGUUUUGCUGGGGUAGAGGACAGUCACCCAGCUGUAAUGACUUGGAGAGGAUAUUAAUUGCUUCUUCAAUAGACCUCCAACUAAAGCUGUGUCUUCCACCCUGUUUCCCAGUUCUGUAGUGCAAAUUAGGAUUCUUUUCAGCAUUUGUUAUUACCAGUUUAGGGGUCUGCUUUCUGGGGUCUUCUGUCAGUUACCAUGAGCCUUUUUGUUUUUUUAAACAAGGAACAAUUGUUAAUGUUGCAUUGUUCACUUUAUUCAUCAAAAGCAUCUUUCCAGGUCAACAAAUAUUCUGUGAAAUAUGUUAAUAGUUGUCUUCUAUUUGUUCACAUAAAUAUACCACAAUUUAUUUAACCAACUUUCUACUGCUGGACUAAUUUGGAUUAUUUCCAAAUUCUUUAUAUUAUAAGCAACAGUGUGUUGAACAUUUUUGUUGCAAAAAACUCUGUUUAUAGGCUUAAUUAUUUCCUCAUUCACUUCAGGGCUAUGUCUGACAGUACCACUUUUGAUAGCUCAUUAAUCCCAUGAGAUGCUUGGUGAAAUAAAGGUUCUGUAAACAAAUAUGUGUGGGAUUGCUGAGAUUCUGUGUGGGCCAUUCGUUACAAAGACUCCACAGAUGCUCUUGUGGGGCAGCUCACCCAGGACCACAGAUUCAGCUUCUAUCCAAGGAGAGCUGCGCUGAGUGAGGCCCGAGUGAAGCAGCAGCUCGGCAGGCGUCUGAGUCCAUCGGGGCUGUCUGAACAGGACACCACAGACUGGGUGGCUUACAAACAACAGACAUUUAGUUCCCAAGCUCUGGAGGCUGGAAGUCCAAGAUCACGGGCUGGAGGAUCAGGCGUCUGUGAGAGCGCACCGCCCGGUUCACAGGCAGCCAUCUGCCAUCAGUGUUCUCACGCGGCAGGAGGGCGAAGCAGCUUUCUGGGGCCUCGUGUGUAGGGGGCCAACGCAGCUGGGUUCGGCCCUCUUGACCUACUCACCUCCCAAAGGCCCCGCCUCCAAACGCCAUCACAGUGGAUUGGGUCUCGGCGAAUGAGUUUUGGGGACACGAACAGCGAUCUGCGGCAGCAGGGCAGGGCUGUGUGUGGCUCAGACGACCAACAGCAGAGGCACACGGCACAGCCCGCCCAUUGACCACCAGGCCCGCUCGCGCCUCCAUACAGUGGGGAGCACCGUUUCCAGCACAAUUUCGUUUUCAAAAUGCAUGAAAUGAGGCACCGAUUACCUGGAAGCCAAACUCCCUAUCUACACUUUCUUAGAAAAAGAAAGUUUCGCACGGUUGGGUUUGGAGGGAGCGCUCCGACAGAAACGAGCGCCGUUGCAGCCACGUCGGGUCUAGCGGUCCUCGAACGGUGGCGCGCGGAUGCCCGCGGCGAGCCGUCACGAGCGCGCGUUUGUGGGCCGCGGCCUCCCGCGCUAACUCAGCGGCCACAGCGCGGCCCGAACCCCGAACCCGCACGAGGACCCAGCUCCGCUGGGGGCGGGGCAGGGGCCGCCCUCGAAAGGGCUCCGGCACGGGCUGCCCGCGUCGGGAGGCUCCGCUGGAACUCGCUCCUGACCGUCCCGGGAUCCGGGUCCAGGCCGAGGCCGCGUCCCGUGGGGCGGGCCGGGCGCAGGAACCGUGCGGGGGCCACGUCGGAGGGCUCCCCGCGCGGCCGGCGAAGCUUCGGUCGGCGGCUUUCCCGCCCCGUCGGGCCGCGGCCUGCGUCCAGGUCCCUUAGGUUCACUAGGGCCCGUCGGACGGCUUGGCCGCGGCCCGGGAGGCGCCUAGAGCCAGCAACGCUUCAGAAACGGUCGGUGGAGCCUGAGCACAGGCCGCGGCCGCUGGGCCCACGGGGCGGGACCGGCCGCGCGGGACCCGGAAGCACGUUCCGGCCCCGCGGACCCUCCAGACUCCCGGCGCCCUCCCCCCUGGUCGGGGCCCUCCGCCCGCCCGGUGCAGGCUGGGGGCGUCUCGCGCGAGCUCCCAGAACCCCUGGCGGCGGCGUCGGUCCAAGGGCGCGGAGGGCUGCGCCCAGGGGUCGCGUUCCCGGAGCGCAGUCUCAGGCAACUGGUCGUCGCCGCUUGUUCUCCUGGACCCGGGGCGGAGCCGGAGCGCCGCCGCCGCCGAGGGGGAGUAAACUCGAGUUGGAGCAGUUUGCUGAUUUGACUGAGUCCUCAGAGCGAGUAAGAGAAGAAUUGGCACAGACUUCAAUCUUCCGUUGUGACCUUGUGCCUCCAUCCUACCACAGCGUUGCUCUUACACAGGAAUGUCUCUGAGGCCCUUCUCUGCUCUGUAAGUCACUCUAGACUAAUUUUACUGCAACUGAAGACACCAGGAUAAGCUGCUCUUGCAAACGUCCUGUGAUGAGCAGAGACAGACCUGGGCUGUGAGCACGCCCACUGGGCUCACACCCUGGUCAGUGCACUGGGAAGCCGGGUGCUGCAUCUCUGUGGCUGACAAGUCUUCUCGCCUGUGACAAGAGAACUGGAGUACGUCUAAGGCUCCUCAGCUUUGACUUCUAUGACAUUUCAGCAGUGGUUUAGGAAUAAUUUAGAAGAAUCAAUUGGAGCACUUGACUAAGACUGAGAGCUGGUACUCUCCAAGGCAGUGAUCACCGUGACCUCUUGGUUUUCAAGGCUACUUUCUAGGAGUCUCCCUUCCUUGGCUACAUCAUCAAAGGACCAGAGAGUUGAGAAUUGUCAUUGGCACCAGGAGGCCUAUGGGUGCUUCUUGCCCAUCCGGGUGAGGUGGCAGGAUAGUGACAGUGCGGCCAUGCGAACCAUGCCGUGCACCACAGCUACUUCGACACUAUUAUCAACUGCCACCUGAUCAGGUAGACUUGAGUUCUUCACACCCACAGCCCCACAUCAGCCCUCCGGAUGCCCUCAGUUGGGAGUUGAUGCAGGGCAUUCUGGGAAGAGAUUCCCUUGUUUUCCUCUGUUAGCAUACCUCUUCUGUUAAGCCGACUGAAAGUCAGAUUAUUCCAGAGGAGAGCAGGCAGACCGACAUGUGAGUGAGGUGUGUGGCCCGGCUGCCCCUGCAGUCACAGGUGUUCCUACACUUGGUCCCUUGUGCUAAAUUGUCAGCAAAGGUGCAGGCUUUGAAUCUCAAAUAAGCACCUACACAGCAAGCCCCAGCGUACUCAGACCCUGGGCCACUUGAGCAGACAUUAACAUCAGCCCUCAAGGCCUUUUGUGAGAAAAGCAGCUGCUUCCCCCACAGAGGGCACGGGAGGAGGAAAGAGGGUGAAGAUGUUGUUAUUGCCUCUGGAUGCUGUGAGGACACGAUUGCCAUCUGACGGCCGUGUCUGCAAGAUCGGUUAGUAUACAGUUGUUUAAUAUGAUUCUCCAUAUGAAAGACUGUGUCGUACAGACAGAUGUGCGUGAAUCCUAGCUCCGCCUUGCAUUAGCUGUGCAGUUUUGAUCAAAUUAUUUAACCUUAUUGAGUCUGUAAAAAUAACGCACAUUUAUUGAGAGCUGUCUCUGUGUCUAGCACUGUGAAGCAUUUAUACACUUUUAUUUAAUCCCCACAGCUUGCUGAGAGAGUAGCAGAUUCACUGCACCCAGACCUCCUUGCUUCUGCCCUUUGGGGGCGCUCUGGCCUGGCUGUCGACUGCCAGCACCAGUGUUUCUUUGCCUAAGGACUUUCUGUGGCCACCACAGCCCCCUUCUGCAGGCAGGCCAGAGGUGCGAGGAGUUAAGGUCCCCUGUAAGCAACCUGCUGUCUCUGCUGAUGGGAGUUGGUGUAAGAUACCCCUCUUCCUCACCUCCUGGAUGAAGCAACUCUGAGCUGCAUACUUCACACAGGCUCCCAGGCUUCCUCAGUGGGAUUAAGCUCCAGUUCCCAGAUUGGUUUCUCACUGACUGUCAGAGCCAAGCCAACACCACAUGAAGCUGUGGGAACGCAGGAAGACCAGCUGUGGAGAGGCAGCCUCGUUUCACCGGUGCGAGGCGAUGCAAGGAAGGCCAGCUGGCCUGGCCGUAGCAAUGCAUCCCAGACAGACAUUGCCUCUUCCUCCUGGCUUUCUAAGGAUGCACCAAACGCUCUGGGGUAAUCCUCGUCUAGAACAUUUCUUCUUUGAAGGGGUCUUUCUCCAGGAGAGGGGACCAGGGAGUUGUGGAGGGGAUGGCGGGGGAAGGUGAGAAAGAUAGCCCAAGACACCACCGCCUCCCAAAGUUCCCAUCACUUUGACACAAGGAAGGGGUUAAGUCAUUCUUGAACAGUUUAUCGCUCAUCAAUUGUAAUUAAAUAUGUUUAUAUUAAAUUAUGUUCUGUAAUUAAUGUAAAAUCCUUUAGCCUGUGCUGUUAUUAGAACCAGAUGCUGAAGUACCAACAAUAUUUCAACAUGACUGUGCUGCCUCGCCAGCUGUCUGACUGUAAUUACUUUAAUCUCAGCUUGUUAUCUAAUUAUCACCUUUGUAAAGGGAAAAGUGCUCUCUAAUGCUUGCUGAUUGUUUCAGAUGAUGAUGAAGAGCGGGAGCAGCUGUCAGAGAUCGUGGGCCCUGCUUAUCAUGACGAGGGAACGUAUCCUGAAGCCUAUUCAGGGCCAAACUGCUGAGAAAGAGUCCCAGUGUGGAAAACUUGACCCCACCUGUCUAGCUCAUGUCACAUUUCUACUGGACGUUGCUCCUCCUGAGGCCAGAGACGACAUUUCAUUAGCCCUGGAUGCCGGUGUCUGGCACAGAGAGUUCUCCAUGUGGCUCUUCAGGAAACAAUCACAACCAAAACCUGCUGUUGAGAGUAGCCGUCAGCACACACCCGCCACCUGUGUCUGCAUGUGUCGGUCGCCUCUCUGUCAAAGUUGUGUCCUCACGUGGUGAGGUCCUGGGUAAGGCCACAUCCCUGAAAGUAGAAGGCAAGACUUCCCUGGGGAAGGUGACCAUCCUAGGGUGAAAGUCCAGGCAGGAGGGGGGCCUCAGCCAGGAAAGGGGCCUUGGAGGCUGGAGAAGGGAGUCUUGUCCGUCCCUGGACCUCGCCUCUUUGGAUCAAGACAAAGAAACUUCUAGAUAUGCCUGAGGAUGCUUUUGGAGUGGGAAAAGGGAAUGUGGCUUCUGCCACACAGGCAGGCUGGGAGCAGGUGGGCAGGGGUCCUAGGGCACCAGUGGGCGAUGAGAGAGCUCAACUUCGUGACCUGGAUCAUCUGGGUGUCUGUCACUGUGUUAACGUCCUGGAGCAAAGCCUGCUCCCGUGUUGCUGUCCAGCCUCUGUGGAGAGGGAUGUGCUGAUCGGGGCUGGGUUGACCAUGGUGGUCAUAGCAACAGAGCUCAGUGAGGUGUCCCCAGAAGAAGGAGAAGCCUAGACCCUACCCCUCUGUGUGUGGAGAUGCUUGCUCCAUGGACGGCUCAGAAGGUCAGGGCUGCUGCUCAUGGGACUUGUCUUUGCAGCAACACGUCUGAGGUAGGUCUGGCAGGACUGCCCACACUGUGAAACCAGAAAGUGACCUGAUGGUGAGGAAAAGCAUCCUCCAGCUUGGACUUGCUCAGAGUGCUUUGCUGAAUGGCCUCUAGGACUUGCCUAAGCCAGGCGCCACUUGCAGGUGUUCCCUGACCCCUCCCGCUGGGCAGAAGGAUGUCUUCCAUGCCCAGUCCCCUUGGGCUACUGCGUUUGUUGUACUCUGGUGUGUUUGUUAAUGACCCUGUCUCCUCUACCAGACCAUGUGCUCCUCAGGGCAUGGUUCAUCAUCGUCCUCCUGGCCCUGGCGCAAUGUCAGACACUUAGCAGGCAUUCAAGUUAUAUUUGUUUAAAAAAAGCAAGCGGAUGGUUAAGGUCAUGGGCUUAUAUGGACAGACAUAUAUGGACAGUGCUGGGCACUGGGAUGGAAGAGUGUUGUAAAGUGCUCAGCACGUCUGGCACAGAGCAGAUGCGUAUGUUCACUGUAUGUACAUCUGCAGAUGCACGUGUGCAUUGAUGACCAUAUCGUCCUCCAUGUCCUCGUUGGACAAAUGCAGCCUUCCUGCCUCACUGGGGUAGAAGUAAGGAGACCCUGCGUGUACGCACAGUCUCUUGCGCAGACCUGAGAUGAGGAGGCGAGGGCGGGGUCUGGGAUUCCUCGGCUCGGUGCAGACCACCGCCGGCUGAGGCAGGGAUGGCAGCUGAGCUCAAGCAGGUGCUUUGCUCUCUGGGUUGUCUACAUCCGCCUGCUUUUUAAAGCUUGGUGUAGACAAGUGAGUGCCCAGGCACUGCUGAUCCUGGAGCUGCGGAGCCAAGGAAUCCCAGUAUCCUACUCGCAGAACAGGGAACAGAGUUUCAUCCUUGUUCUGGCUCCUCCGCAGCCCCAAAGGAGCUCAAGUGGACUGAUGACACAGGAGUGAUCUUUUAGGGAGAAAUUAUUUGGACAAAGCUGUUGGCUUUUAUCAAGGUCUUAUACAUUUUCAGAUUGGCAGCAUGGUCGUUCCCACAGUGCAGGGCUGGAGGGUGACGGGUUUCAGUUGUUUGAGGCCCUAGAGAAAUCAGUGCCAGCUAUUUAUUUUAAAAGUAGUGUCAAGAGUAGACGUUUCUGCAAAUUAUUCAUGAGGUAAACAAUUCAGUGUAGCUUCUUUGGAAAAUCAGAAUGAAGAUGGCACUGAAUGACUCCAGAACCUGUAGAGGGGAGCCUGGGCUGGGCUAUCCAAGGGGGUUGCUGAAAUGCAGAGCUUUCAGGUUCAUUGGCACCUUCACCGAGUCAAGAUCUUUAAGGCUGACACUAAGAAAGACUGACAGUUUAAUAAGGAAUUGGCAUUGAUUCUCAAGAUCCAAGUGAGCACUGCUGUCGUUUUUAUCCAAGCCCAAAGACCUAAAGUCCACCCUGUGCCCCAAAUUCAUGUUAGAGGGCCAUUCUCCUCUUGCCAAAGACUGUCCAUCUUCCUUGAUUUUGUGUUUUAGCCUCUGUCCAUUUCUUAUUCAGUCUGUCAGUUUCUUUAUAACUGGAUGGGCUGAACCUAUUGAGAAAUCUCGACGACGUCGCUUUCUGGAAUAAAUGGCCUGUUUCCCACUCUUUGACUUACAGCUUCAGAAUCUCACCUCUGAACUGAUGUUGUUUUGAUCCCACCCUGACACUCUCUUCUCCUUGGAGUACGUGGUCUGGUGCCUCCGAGAAGAAUUUCCCUACUUUCUGGUCUUGGUUACCGUGUGGUGCCUGUUCCUUUCUUAAACCUCGAGCAUGAGGCACGCUUUCCAGGAUGCAGGACUUGGUAACCUUCAUCAGUUUUUAGCAUCAGCACUCUGUUGUUGUUAUUGUUGUUGGAAAUAGUGUAUUAUCUUCUAUCGACGACUCUAUGGUUUCUGCUUGUCACAUGACUAGUCGUGUACGACCAGAACUGGAGGAAGUUUUCUCUGCAUAGUCUUUGUUUCUCACUCUUCUUUGUCCUACUUGAUGCUCCUGUCUCCCCUAAACCCUCACUUUUUUUGUUUUGGAAUUAUCAAACUACAUAUAUUAAUUUUUGAGAACUACAGAUUCGGGACGAAUUGUGCACUUUCCUCCGUCGUUCUCUCCAUGUGUACUGUGUGAGAACGGUUCUGUGCGCACUCAGGUGGUUAGUAUUAUUCUGAGGUUCACAUUAGCUUCAUACUCACAAACACCUGGGAAAAGCAAGGAGCUCAAUAACAUCAGGUCUUUUCGCCCAUUUUCUUAAUGCUGUAUUCAUAAGAAGCUUUUAGAUGAAAUGCAGCUAUACAGUGGUGAAAAAGCCUCCAGUCUUUGGAGAAAUAAUUACUUUGUGAAAUCUGCAGACUUUUAAUUACUGAGUUGAAAUAAAAUAAAAACAAGGCCAGAUAUUUUAGAUGUUUUUAUGACUUUUCAAAAACAUUUUGGAUUGAGCUGUGCUAUAUAAAUUAAAAUUUUAAAUCAAAGUAAAAUUAGAAAUGAAAUUUUUAGGAAAAUUUCAAAUGUUUAGGCAAAAAGUCAAACUAUAUACCAUUUUGCAAGUUUGAAAUUUUUAAAAGACCUAUGCUUACUCAAAAUGGACUGGAAUCAUUGCUUUGGAAUUCUAAGGUUCACUUCAGAGGAAUCUGCGAUUUUUCACUGCAUAAGAAAAAUGAAGGCCAGCAAAGUGUUGAUAACAUGCUUCUUAUUACAAAAUACAAAUUGUAUCAAACCAUCUUUUUUAAAAGGUAUAUAUAUAUAUAUAUAUUUCUUUGCUGAGGAAGAUUGGCCCUGAGCUAACAUCUGUGCCAAUCUUCCUCUAUUUUGUAUGUGGGUCGCCUCCAUAGCGUAGCCACCUCUGAGUGGUGGAAGUCCACGUCUGGGAACUGAACCUGGGCUGCUGAAGCCAAGCGCAUGGAACUUAACCACUAAGCCAUGGGGCCGGCCCUUAAACCAUCUUUUACUAUGGUAUUUGCCUACACUGUACAGGAGAGUCACUGACCAACCCCAUCUCUUGUGGUCUCGGCGGCUGUCCACUUGGUGUCUGUACAUGACACGAGGCUGUCGGACAGCCACACCCUGGUGUGGAGGGAUUAGGAAUGGCUGGUGUUUUGCUAUCUAUGAUUUGGAUCAGAUGCUUAAAGAGGGUUCAUCCAUUCUACCCAGGGGCAGUUUUUAUGGCCUUGAAGUUUGUGCAUUCGGGAGAAUCUAUUUAUGAAAAAGAAUACAGAAAUAGAUGCAGGACCUUGAAGGGGGCCCAGUGAGUGAGGGUCCUGCAGCUCGGACUUCAGCAGUGUCACGUGAGCCCACACCUUCUCCUGACCGACCGGAUGAGCACGACACCUGGAAGGAGCUGAGUCCUGAGACUGAUGGGGAGUGGGUUUCAGAGCUGGUGAGUGUUGAUGGUCCCUCAUCUCCAGCGUCUGAGCAGUUGUCAGAAAACUGGGUGUUGCAAAAGAUGAAUUUGAGAAUGCACACCAAGAUGUGUUCUGAUUAUAAUUUGUGUUUCAUUACACUGUGCAAAAUGUCAAUGCUAGAAUCACUUUUAAGCUAAUAAAAAUGCCAAGAACUGCUACAUAAUUUGUUUUCUAUGUGCAAUUUAUCAUACUUCUGUAGAGCAUUUUAGUUCUAUAUGUGGUCUUUUAAAGUAACUUGUAAACUGUGUGUAACAUAAUGGGGCAUCUCACAGGAGAUGCUGAUUUCGGGGCUCAUUGUGAUUUCUAACCUGCUGGAAAUGCUUUUUAGAGGGUGGAGCAUAAUUGCUCCCAAGAGUUCAUGUAUUAGCAUAAGUAUCGGAAGGAUGAUUUUUAAAAUUUCUGUCCAAAUUCUGGUUUGGCUAUUUUAAUCUUCAUGCUUAAAUCGGUAUGUCAACUAUCAUCAGUCUUUGGACUAUUUUAAUAGUGUAAGUCGUAUAUUUUCCUUUUCAGACAUCCCUUGAAUACAGUCUUAUGUGGAUUCUAGAGUCUGAAGAUUCAGGUUUAUUUUGAGCAUCCUCACAGGACUUAGGAAUGACAUUCAUUUUUCUCUUUUAUAUGUUUUCUUGGUGGAACACUUUGCCAAAUGCCCUGGAACAGUUACUGUGGCCCUCGGGGCAGCACAGGCCCCGUGAAACUGCAGGACAGGCUGCCCUCGUCUCUCUCCUUUGGCAUGUCUCCCUUUGGCCCUUCUCUUGCCUGGAUUCCACGGAACAGCAGCUUGUUCCAAACCCCCGCUCUCCUGUGUUGCUCGCGGGCUGCCUGCUUACAGCCAUUGGAAUGUACAAUUAAUGCUGAAGCACAUGUAGAUAAUGUGAGAACCCUCAUAAAAGCACUAAACACAGCAAAUAACAUUUCAGGCUGGAUUUCAUCCCAAAUGCCUGGCGUCUGAAGCAGGAAGGUGCAGAACCAGGAAGAUGGCCUGGUAGCUGUGGAGGAUUGGAGCUGCAUGUGAAAUAUGUACACACAACCACCACGGUCGAAUGCGGACAUUCAUCACGGCUGCAAGCAGAGUGCGUAAAUAUCACAGAUUCAAAGCUAAAAAGGGUUGGGAUAGAAAGAUAAGCCUUUUAGGUUUAAUGUAACAAUGAAACGGUUCUUCUGGCCUAAGGAUGGCAGACACAUCCAGAUUGCCUGGAAAGAGUGAAGCCUUCACGAAGCUGGGACCCGGGGUCUCGGAUGGGACUUUAACCCAGGGAGCUGAGCUACCAUCUUGACCUUGGCCUGGCCAUUUACAUCUCGAGGCAUCAAUUUCCUCUUUAAAUAAAAAUACUGACUUGUGUUGCCAAGUAGCUUCUACCAAGCGCCCUGGGACGAUCUUUCCUGAUGAAUCAGAAUCCACCAGGGAGUGUGUCCUGGUGGGGAGAUGCUGUGGCUGCCUUUCUACCUAGCAAGUUCAUCUUAAAUACAGUAACAGCUGAGAGUUAAGUGCUCACUAGGGAGGCGGACUGAGGAUUGGAAAGGGCCAGUCACUUGCCCAAGGUCACACAGCCACGCAGAGCCUGGGCUGGAACCUGUCUAGCCCUGAUUCAAGGCUGCAUGGGAGUUGCCUUCCUCCUUCAGCUUUCUGGAGGCUGCCAUCACAGGAGGGUGGCUUGGUCAGGACCUGGAGCCCCCUCGAGGCGCUUCAUCCUCUCCCUCCCUUCUUCAGGUUCUGAGGUUGAGAUCAGAAGGUUAGAAAGAGCAGGAACAGUUUUAUGUGCUCAGAGGAGAGGGCAGAGUUCCUCCAGGCGAAUGCAAGCAGCUUGUUUUCCUAGAGAUCCAGGGGACUUAAGAAAGCGCGAGGCAGUGCUAGGGGCUGAUACAUAAGAAAUAGAUGGCAGGCUUUCUUUUCCUUUUUUUGUACAUUUAUAAGCAGUGUGCAGAGCCAAGAGCUGAUGAUUUAUUAAUUGCAUUUUCCAGAUGGAGUGGCAGCCUGAGGGGCAGUUUUCUACCUAAAACAGACACCGAAAAUGCAGACAUGCUCAGGAUCUAGUAACUGACUUCAAUGUUUCCAUCUUUGCAGCUGAGCUUGAAAAGACUGACAAGCUGGAGGCAAUGGUUCCUUUUCUGAGAGGUUGGUUUUAUAUUAUGGAGAAAAUAGUUCUUUAUGAACAAUCUCCAGCCUCAAAACUUUAAUUUUUACAGAAUUCAGUCACAAAGCUGAAUUACAUUAACAUCUUACUAUUGCAUUUAUAUUGCAGUUAAUGUUUUUUUUUUUUGCAGGGAAAGAUUUGCCCUGAGUUAUCUGUUGCCAGUCUUCCUCUUUUUUUGCCUCCCCAAAGCCCUGGUACCUAGUUGUAUAUUCUAGUGGUAAGUCCUUCUAGUUCUUCGGUGUGAGCCACCACUGGCUACUGUCAGAUGGGUGGUAUGGUUCUCCUCCUGGGAACUGAACCCAGGCCACCAAAGUGGAGUGUGUUGAACUUAACUACUAGGCCAUCAGGGCUGGCUCAUGGUUAAUUUUUAACAGAGCUCAGUGAGAGUGAGAUGAGGAUGGUAUCCUUCAUUUUGAUAGAGAAAUUGAAAUUCUGCCUGAUAUUGGGGCCUUACAUCCACAGAGGGCCAUCUGUGUGCAGACAGAUUUUUCUAACCUGUAAGUUGGACCAAAUUUCAGCACCCUGUGUCUUUACACCCAAAGUAAAUGGAGCUAUUUUGCAAAGCUUAUGUGUGUGUGUGUUUGUUUUGCAUCCUUUCCAAUCUCCUAAUAAAGCUUCUGAACUCGAGAAAACAAAGUGCUGGCCUCCAAAGGUUGCUGGGAGGUGUCAUUUCUGCUUGCUCAACAUGAAGAAGGCUAACCCUCCAACACAUCACAUUGUGUGUUUCUGCUCAUGGCAUUAGGAUGUUAGUCUGCAGCACAAUAUACACUCAUUACCUCGUUUUCAGUUUUCGUGGUAUGUAUUGUAAUAGCAGAAGGGGAUUUGCUGAUGACUAAGAAGGAAAACAGAGGGAGAAAAGUUCUUAUUACAUAAAAUGAUUCUUUGCUUGCAUAAAGAGGAUUCUCUGGGGCUUAACUGGGAAAAUCCAGACAGGAGGUAAACGUCCUAGAUGUUUACAGGUUAAACAUUCUGUAAGUGGCUUGGAAACCAGCCCUUCCUGGCUUCUUGACAUGGCCAACUGCUGGAGUGUCAAACUGUUGGAGCGACUCCGUUUUCCCUGGGCAGCGACACUCACGACAGACGAUGCUCACCCUGGUCGGAGCAUCGUGGUGGGACUUGGCCCAGCUUGCUGAUGAGAUAUCAAAAAUAGCUUUAACGUAAUUAUGUUUUGCACUUGUAAUAUUUCACAGGCAAUAAUACAGUAGAAAAUUGCACUUUUUUUGGUCACCUGGUUAUUUAAAACUUUUUUGUUUUUGAUGGAGCUACGAUGAAGCUGACGUAUUUGGUGGGUGGUUGUUUCUUAAAUGUGUGCUCCGUUCCAAAUGCGUAAGUGCAGGCACUGGUCCAGCGUUUGAUGGGGUUCGAUGACUACGAGGAGGAUGCGGGCGCUGUUCAGUGGGAGCCGUGAAAGGCAGCUUCUUAACCAUAGUAGCCGAGAGCUGGGAAGUAAUAAGAGCCUCCUUUGUGAGGGGCAUCUUGUUGUAGUAGAAAUUCUGCCUGCAGAGGCCAGAGAUGUGGUCUCCAGCUCCCUGCCUCAACCGUCCUGUGUGACCUCAGGCAAGUCGUUGAAACUCUGAGCUACUGCUUCAAAGAACAGUGCUGAUGGACUGAUCUUUUGCAGACCAUCCCAGGUGUAAUAUCUAUGAUUAUAGAAAGAAUUCAAAAUUUUCAGUUUAUUUAUUUUUUUACUUUGCAAAACAUCUUCAGGUUCAUUUUUUUUAAUUCUGAGGGUUUUUUUCACCACAGUGGUAAAUUUUCUUUUUUCCAAGGGAGCAUCAUAGCCCUUUGAAUCUUGGGGCUUGUGUGUUUUGUCAACGAAAAUAAUCCAUAACCAAUGUAUAAAUGAAAAUUUGGGAGAGUUUAUUCUGAGCUAAAA